rnacentral:rRNA from 1 species
GACAGAGGGUGCAAACGUUGUUCGGAUUUACUGGGCGUAAAGCGUGUGUAGGCGGCUUCGCAAGUUGGAUGUGAAAUCCCACGGCUCAACCGUGGACGUGCAUCCAAAACUGCGUCGCUAGAGUCUCGGAGAGGAAGGUGGAAUGCUUGGUGUAGAGGUGAAAUUCGUAGAUAUCAAGCAGAACACCUGCGGCGAAGGCGGCCUUCUGGACGAUGACUGACGCUGAGACACGAAAGCGUGGGGGAGCAAACAGG